rnacentral:rRNA from 1 species
AAACUUUCAACAACGGAUCUCUUGGCUGUGGCAUCGAUGAAGAACGCAGCGAAAUGCGAUAACUAAUGUGAAUUGCA